rnacentral:rRNA from 1 species
UCGAACAGACCUAAAUUUUUUAGCUUCUACACCAAAAUUUUAUUUUAAUCCAACAUCGAGGUCGCAAUCUUUUUUUUCGAUUAGAACUCUCAAAAAAAAUUACGCUGUUAUCCCUAAGGUAAUUUAAUCUUAAAAUCUUAAAAAAAGGAUCAAUCACUCAUAAAUAAAUGUUCUAAUAAAAAAAAAGUUCUUCAAAUUUUUCAAUCACCCCAACCAAAUUAAACUUCAUUUAAAAAUAAGUAUAUCCCAAUAACUCUUAAAUAAAUUUUUAAUAAAACUCUAUAGGGUCUUCUCGUCUUUAAUUAAAAUUUAAGCUUUUUAACUUAAAAAUAAAAUUCUAAAUAAUUUAAAUAGAGACAGUUAUUUUUUCAUCUAACCUUUCAUUCCAGCUUUCAAUUAAAAAACUAAUUAUUAUGCUACCUUUGCACGGUCAAAUUACCGCGGCCAUUUAAAUUCUCAUAGGGCAGGCUGGACCUUAAAUUAUACUCAAAAA